rnacentral:lncRNA from 1 species
UUUUGUUUAGUGUUUUAUUUGUUAAUUUAAAAGAAAUUAAUUUUAAGUAUAUAUUGGUUGGUUAUACCAAAUAUUUUGUGGCACUUGACUUGUGUGGUUGUAGUUGUGACUUUGAUUUGAACCAACGUAGAAAGGGGGGAAUGAAUGAGGAAAGCAAGGUAAUGUGCAACUUGCCAUCUCCCCACCAAACUGUUUUGUGUGUGGGGACCAUGAAAGAGCUUAUUCACGGGACCAAGUUAGGGACACAUGCCACUGUUGUCCUUCUCUGCCUACACUUACAACUAUGAUGCGUUUCAUUGGUCAGCAAUUCACGUGCUAGGGUUAAUAAGGUGCCAUAUAGUAGGCAGGCAUAUAGUAUUCAAUUCUUUGCUUAAAUAUGUUCUUUCUCUCCUAAAAUAUACACUCUCCAUAGGGGGCAGCUCAUUGUAGAUAUCCCGUAACACCCAAGACCGACGAGGAUGGGGAGUGGUCGCCGGUGCACAAGGCACGACAAUGAGCGGCUCCCGACAGCUUCUAGAGGAAUCGAAUCACGCCGGAAUGAGAGGGAUCCUAAGGCCUUGUAG